UCUUCAAUAGCUCAGUGGUAGAGCAAUCGGCUGUUAACCGAUUAGUCGUAGGUUCAAAUCCUUCUUGAAGAG
rnacentral:tRNA from 1 species